UACAGAGGUGGCAAGCGUUGUUCGGAAUUACUGGGCGUAAAGGGCGCGUAGGCGGUCUUGUAAGUCUUGUGUGAAAUCCCUCGGCUUAACUGAGGAACUGCACGGGAUACUGCGAGACUUGAGAUCGGGAGAGGGAAGCGGAAUUCCAGGUGUAGCGGUGAAAUGCGUAGAUAUCAAGUGGAACAUCAGUGGCGAAGGCGAAUCCCUGGAAAAUACCUGACACUGAGGCACGAAAGCUAGGGGAGCAAACAGG
rnacentral:rRNA from 1 species